UACGUAGGGGGCAAGCGUUAUCCGGAUUUGCUGGGUGUAAAGGGAGCGUAGACGGUUGUGCAAGUCUGAAGUGAAAGCCCGCGGCUCAACUGCGGAACGGCUUUGGAAACUGUGUAACUGGAGUGCUGGAGAGGUAAGCGGAAUUCCUGGUGUAGCGGUGAAAUGCGUAGAGAUCAGGAGGAACACCGGCGGCGAAGGCGGCUUACUGGACAGUAACUGACGUUGAGGCUCGAAAGCGUGGGGAGCAAACAGG
rnacentral:rRNA from 1 species